ensembl:lncRNA
CUAGGUUUUGGCCUUUCUAGGGAGUUUUUCCUAGCCACUGUGCUUCUACACCUGCAUUGCUUGCUGUUUGGGGUUUUAGGCUGGGUUUCUGUACAGCACUUUGAGAUAUCAGCUGAUGUACGAAGGGCUAUAUAAAUACAUUUGAUAUGAUUUGUGGAUUAUGCCCCCAUUAAAUGGGGUAUCAGCCUGCUCAGUGACACUCACAGAACACAGCUAUAUAGAGGUUACAGAGGUAUUAGCAUGUUAGCUCUUAUUGCAGGACUGACUGGGAAAUCACCAUUCCAGUCAAUCUAUUGUGUGUAUUGACAUUCAUAUUGCAGUUUACAGCCUAACCGAUGGAUGUUGCUCAAAUGGAGUAUCAGCCUACUUUGUGACAGUCACAGAACGCAACUGUGUAGAGUUUACAUGAAGCACAAAAUGAAACCUGAUUCAAGCCAUCUACAUUUCAUUAGAUGGCUUCAUUAAUUUCAUGAAUAAUUCAAAAUGAAUGAUUACAACAGGCAUAUCAUAAAACUGUAUCACUCAACUACAUCUUUCUAUAACAGUUGGUGUGAAAACAAGGCAGAUGUUAUCGCUAAGAAUUAAGAAAGAGCUCGUCCUUGAACUAAGAGACAUUUCAGAUGAUGGGAUCAAAGGCUGUCUUGCACUGCAAAUAACCCAUCGGAGUGGGACUUGUAGCAUGCGCAAUAUCCAUGCAAUAUCCAUGCAUCCCAGACAUUACUAGUGAAGAUGGACAUGACAACACAAGGUCAUUUGCCUACACGUUUUCCUCUAUCCUCCAUACAGAACAAGUACACGUGAAUUGUCUAGUGCAGUGGUUCCCAACCUUUUUAUAUUUCUGUACCCCUUCAAACCUUGAACCAGCUGCGUACCCCCUCUAGCACCAGGGUCACCUGUUCCCCUUCUAGCACCAGAGACAGCGCACUCUCAAAUGUUGUUUUUUGCCAUCAUUGUAAGCCUGCCACACACACACACUAUACGAUAUACUAUACUAUUAAACAUAAGAAUGAGGGUGAGUUUCUGUCACAACCCGGCUCGUGGGAAGUGACCAAGAGCUCUUAUAGGACCAGGGCACAAAUAAUAAUAUUAUAAUAAUCAAUAAUUUUGCUCUUUAUUUAACCAUCUUACAUAUAAAACCUUAUUUGUUCAUCAAAAAUUGUGAAAAACUCACCACAGGUUAAUGAGAAGGGUGUGCUUGAAAGGAUGUACAUAACUCUGCAAUGUUGGGUUGUAUUGGAGAGAGUCUCUGUCUUAAAUCAUUUUCCACACAGUCUGUGCCUGUAUUUAGUUUUCAUGCUAGUGAGGGCUGAGAAUCCACUCUCACAUAGGUACGUGGUUGCAAAGGGCAUCUUAACAGGGCGAUUUGCCAAGGCAGGAUACUCUGAGUGCAGCCCUAUACAGAAAUCGGGCUGUGGCUUCUGAUGAAAAUACAUUUUCACAGAACUGCUUGUUGCAAUUUCGAUGAGGCUCUCUUGUUCAGAUAUCAGUAAGUGGACUGGAGGCAGGGCAUGAAAGGGAUAACGAAUCCAGUUGUUUGUGUCAUCCGUUUCAGGAAAGUACCUGCGUAAUUGCGCACCCAACUCACUCAGGUGCUUCCUUUAUAUAUAUCCCUCUAGUGGUGUGGGGGCUGUGCUUUGGCAAAGUGGGUGGGGUUAUAUCCUUCCUGUUUGGCCCUGUCUGGGGGUGACCUCGGAUGGGGCCACAGUGUCUCCUGACCCCUCCUGUCUCAGCCUCCAGUAUUUAUGCUGCAG